AUGGUCAUUACGCUUUGGUCAAUAUGGUAUGCUAGGAGGAAGGCUGUUUAUGAAUCCAUAUUUCAGAGUCCCCAACAUACGGCGUCCUUUAUCAAUACUUACAUUGACGAGUUGGGACACAAUGCUGCUGUUCGAGUGCAUGAAUGUAAUGUUGCUGCACCACCACAACCGAAAAGGUGGCUUCCUCCACCAAGUGCCAUUGCACAGAUUAAUGUUGAUGGGGCUGUGGUACGAUCACGGAGAGGAGGUGUACUUGCUGCCCUAUGCCGCGGCCAUGAGGGGCACUAUUUGGGCUCUUCGGCGAUGGUUUAUCAUGGGAUCAAGGACCCCUUAACCCUGGAGACAUAUGCAUGCCGUGAGGCUCUUACUUUGGCGGAUGACUUGGGAUAA
rnacentral:rRNA from 1 species